rnacentral:rRNA from 1 species
GUGCUAAUACCGGAUAAUAAAGCAGAUCGCAUGAUCAGCUUAUAAAAGGCGGCGUAAGCUGUCGCUAUGGGAUGGCCCCGCGGUGCAUUAGCUAGUUGGUAAGGUAACGGCUUACCAAGGCAAUGAUGCAUAGCCGAGUUGAGAGACUGAACGGCCACAUUGGGACUGAGACACGGCCCAAACUCCUACGGGAGGCAGCAGUAGGGAAUCUUCCACAAUGGACGCAAGUCUGAUGGAGCAACGCCGCGUGAGUGAAGAAGGUUUUCGGAUCGUAAAGCUCUGUUGUUGGUGAAGAAGGAUAGAGGUAGUAACUGGCCUUUAUUUGACGGUAAUCAACCAGAAAGUCACGGCUAACUACGUGCCAGCAGCCGCGGUAAUACGUAGGUGGCAAGCGUUGUCCGGAUUUAUUGGGCGUAAAGCGAGCGCAGGCGGAAGAAUAAGUCUGAUGUGAAAGCCCUCGGCUUAACCGAGGAAUUGCAUCGGAAACUGUUUUUCUUGAGUGCAGAAGAGGAGAGUG